CAGCAGCCGCGGUAAAACAGAGGGUGCGAGCGUUAAUCGGAUUUACUGGGCGUAAAGCGUGCGUAGGCGGCUUUUUAAGUCGGAUGUGAAAUCCCUGAGCUUAACUUAGGAAUUGCAUUCGAUACUGGGAAGCUAGAGUAUGGGAGAGGAUGGUAGAAUUCCAGGUGUAGCGGUGAAAUGCGUAGAGAUCUGGAGGAAUACCGAUGGCGAAGGCAGCCAUCUGGCCUAAUACUGACGCUGAGGUACGAAAGCAUGGGGAGCAAACAGGAUUAGAGACCCCCGUAGUCCCUGUCUCUUAUAC
rnacentral:rRNA from 1 species